GAUGAACGCUGGCGGCGUGCUUAACACAUGCAAGUCGAACGGAAAGGCCCAAGCUUGCUUGGGUACUCGAGUGGCGAACGGGUGAGUAACACGUGGGUGAUCUGCCCUGCACUUCGGGAUAAGCCUGGGAAACUGGGUCUAAUACCGGAUAGGACGCUGGUUUGGAUGCCAUUGUGGAAAGUUUUUUCGGUGUGGGAUGAGCUCGCGGCCUAUCAGCUUGUUGGUGGGGUAAUGGCCUACCAAGGCGUCGACGGGUAGCCGGCCCGAGAGGGUGUACGGCGACAUUGGGGCUGAGAUACGGGGCAGACACCUACGGGGGGGAGAAGUGGGGAAUAUUGCACGAUGGGGGCGAGACUGAUGCGGAGACGCGGCGUGGGGGAUGACGGCGUUCGGGGUGUAAACUCCUCUUGCUAGGGACGAAGCGUUUUUGUGACGGUACCUGGAGAAGAAGCACCGGCUAACUACGUG
rnacentral:rRNA from 1 species